AUCACGUUGAAACACCGGUGCUCAUGCCAUCACUGAAGUUAAGCAACGCCGAGCCUGGCCAGUACCAAAAUGGGCGACCGCUUGGGAAUACCGGCUGCUGUAA